CUCCUGGUUACUAAGAUAAACCAUGUUAGAGAAAGAAGCAACGUUCGAAGGAGGGCACACCGUACGCAACUAUCGAGUAUUGUUUAGACAUCAGCCGUGCGAAAUGGUACUCGCCGUCUAGUUGCACUAUAAUUUUAUUUUUUGUUUCGAACAACCAAUAGGAGGCCCCGUGUGGUUAUUCAGUGGGUCACGGGUUCGAACCCCACCGAUAGCGUCCACGAGCCGGCUCGAGCCGGUUAGUCCGACCCUUAGCCGGGACCGAGCCGGCUAGCCGUUGCCCAGCGUUAGAUCCAACCCAAUGCCCCUAUCUCCUCUUCUUUUUUCUUUUGGUAGACAGGGCCGGUUCAGUGAUAAAAAGACCGGGGCUCUUUUUUCCCAUCGCGAAAGCCCGUG
rnacentral:lncRNA from 1 species